GAUCAUGGCUCAGAUUGAACGCUGGCGGAAUGCUUCCCACAUGCAAGUCGAGCGGCAGCGCGGGGGCAACCCUGGCGGCGAGCGGCGAACGGGUGAGUAACACAUAGGAACAUACCCAGUAAUGGGGGAUAACGCCGAGAAAUCGGUGCUAAUACCGCAUACGCCCUGAGGGGGAAAGCGGGGGAUCUUCGGACCUCGCGUUAUUGGAUUGGCCUAUGUCUGAUUAGCUAGUUGGUGGGGUAAAGGCCCACCAAGGCAUCGAUCAGUAGCUGGUCUGAGAGGAUGAUCAGCCACACUGGAACUGAGACACGGUCCAGACUCCUACGGGAGGCAGCAGUGGGGAAUUUUGGACAAUGGGCGAAAGCCUGAUCCAGCCAUUCCGCGUGAGUGAAGAAGGCCUUCGGGUUGUGAAGCUCUUUCGGCAGGAACGAAACGGUGAGGUCUAAUACGCCUUACUAAUGACGGUACCUGAAGAAGAAGCACCGGCUAACUACGUGCCAGCAGCCGCGGUAAUACGUAGGGUGCGAGCGUUAAUCGGAAUUACUGGGCGUAAAGCGUGCGCAGGCGGUUUUGUAAGUCAGAUGUGAAAGCCCCGGGCUUAACCUGGGAAUUGCGUUUGAAACUACAAGGCUAGAGUGUGUCAGAGGGGGGUAGAAUUCCACGUGUAGCAGUGAAAUGCGUAGAGAUGUGGAGGAAUACCGAUGGCGAAGGCAGCCCCCUGGGAUAACACUGACGCUCAUGCACGAAAGCGUGGGGAGCAAACAGGAUUAGAUACCCU
rnacentral:rRNA from 1 species